rnacentral:lncRNA from 1 species
CGCCAGCGGGGGCGCUGAGCUCAGAGCUGCCGCAGCGCCGGAGCCGGAGCCGGAGCCGGAGCGCGCGAGCUCGCAGGGCGCGAGGAACGAGCGGUGGCUGGCUACGCACCCGAGACCCGGGCACUGCUGCGCUCCUGCUCAGGACCCGCGACCCGAGCGCCUGAUCCCGGCCCUAUCCCCCCUCCGGCCCCUGGUCCACCCCGGCCUGGCCUAGCGGAGCCCCCGCGUCCGCCCGCCGCAGCCGCCGCUCCAUCCCCAGCCCCGGCCCCGCAUCCAGCCAGAGGAAGUGGCCCAGGAAGCUGCUGAAGAACCACUGAUUGAGCCCCUGAUGGAGCCAGAAGGGGAGAGUUAUGAGGACCCACCCCAGGAGGAAUAUCAGGAGUAUGAGCCAGAGGCGUAGGGGCCCAGGAGAGCCCCCACCAGCAGCACAAUUCUGUCCCUGUCCCUGCCCCGCCCCCCAGAGCCAGGGCUGUCCUUAGACUCCUUCUCCCCAAUCACGAGAUCUUCCUUCCGCUCUGAGGCAACCCCCUCGGAGCCUGUGUUAGUGUCUGUCCAUCUGUCUGUCCUACCCGCCCGCGUCCAACCCCGGGGCAUGGACAGGGCCAGGGUUGCGGUCGCGGCUGGGAGCCUCGCCCCUCCAGUGUUGCCUCCUCCCAUCCAGCGUCUGCGCGGAUGUAGCAUGUUCUAUGUGUUUUUAAACGAAGAUCCGAGCGACGGCUCCUCCCCGAUCCCCGACAGUGGCUCUCCAAGCGGCCCCCGGGCAGCCCCAGAGCACCCCGCCCGACUCCCAUUAACCUCGAGAACCUUUUUUUUUUUAACCAAAACCAGGAGCCAGGCUGUGCCAUGUCCCCCGCCCCCCAUCCCAGCCGGCCCGGUCCGAACGCGGGCGUCGUGUGUUGUGAUUGUGGCAUGGAGAGUCCCCAUCCCCCCCAUGUGAGCGUGUCCCGGGCGGGUGGGCCCGGCCGCCCCCGAGAGUCCAUGAAUAAAGCUAAUCUGUCUGU